rnacentral:rRNA from 1 species
GGGUGAGUAAUGCGUGACCAACCUGCCCCAUGCUCCAGAAUAGCUCUUGGAAACGGGUGGUAAUGCUGGAUGCUCCAACUUGACGCAUGUCUUGUUGGGAAAGUGUUUAGUGGCAUGGGAUGGGGUCGCGUCCUAUCAGCUUGUAGGCGGGGUAAUGGCCCACCUAGGCUUCGACGGGUAGCCGGCCUGAGAGGGCGGACGGCCACAUUGGGACUGAGAUACGGCCCAGACUCCUACGGGAGGCAGCAGAC